rnacentral:rRNA from 1 species
UACGUGGGGCGCAAGCGUUAUCCGGAAUUAUUGGGCGUAAAGAGCUCGUAGGCGGUUUGUCGCGUCUGCCGUGAAAGUCCGGGGCUCAACCCCGGAUCUGCGGUGGGUACGGGCAGACUAGAGUGAUGUAGGGGAGACUGGAAUUCCUGGUGUAGCGGUGAAAUGCGCAGAUAUCAGGAGGAACACCGAUGGCGAAGGCAGGUCUCUGGGCAUUAACUGACGCUGAGGAGCGAAAGCAUGGGGAGCGAACAGG